UAGGGAAUCUUCGGCAAUGGACGGAAGUCUGACCGAGCAACGCCGCGUGAGUGAAGAAGGUUUUCGGAUCGUAAAGCUCUGUUGUAAGAGAAGAACGAGUGUGAGAGUGGAAAGUUCACACUGUGACGGUAUCUUACCAGAAAGGGACGGCUAACUACGUGCCAGCAGCCGCGGUAAUACGUAGGUCCCGAGCGUUGUCCGGAUUUAUUGGGCGUAAAGCGAGCGCAGGCGGUUAGAUAAGUCUGAAGUUAAAGGCUGUGGCUUAACCAUAGUAGGCUUUGGAAACUGUUUAACUUGAGUGCAAGAGGGGAGAGUGGAAUUCCAUGUGUAGCGGUGAAAUGCGUAGAUAUAUGGAGGAACACCGGUGGCGAAAGCGGCUCUCUGGCUUGUAACUGACGCUGAGGCUCGAAAGCGUGGGGAGCAAACAGGAUUAGAUACCCUGGUAGUCCACGCUGUAAACGAUGAGUGCUAGGUGUUAGACCCUUUCCGGGGUUUAGUGCCGUAGCUAACGCAUUAAGCACUCCGCCUGGGGGAGUACGACCGCAANGGUUG
rnacentral:rRNA from 1 species